UACGGAGGGUGCGAGCGUUGUCCGGAAUCAUUGGGCGUAAAGGGCGCGUAGGUGGCUUCUUAAGCGUGCGGUGAAAGCCUGGGCUCAACCCCGGGUCGGCCGUGCGAACUGGGGGGCUGGAGCACUGUAGAGGCAGGCGGAAUUCCGGGUGUAGCGGUGGAAUGCGUAGAGAUCCGGAAGAACGACCGGUGGCGAAGGCGGCCUGCUGGGCAGUGCUGACACUGAGGCGCGACAGCGUGGGAGCAACAGG
rnacentral:rRNA from 1 species